rfam:Triticum aestivum genome assembly, contig: Triticum_aestivum_CS42_TGACv1_scaffold_579793_7BL
CAACUACUCCCUCUGUCCCAAAUUUCUUGUCUUAGAUUUGUCUAGAUACGGAUGUAUCAAGAGAUACAUCCGUAUCUAGACAAAUCAAAGACAAGAAUUUUGGGACGGAGGGAGUACUUU